CCUACGGGUGGCAGCAGUGAGGAAUAUUGGUCAAUGGGCGCGAGCCUGAACCAGCCAAGUCGCGUGAGGGAAGACGGUCCUAUGGAUUGUAAACCUCUUUUGUCGGGGAGCAAAAGACGCCACGCGUGGCCCUCCGAGCGUACCCUAAGAACAAGCAUCGGCUAACUCGGUGCCAGCAGCCGCGGUAAUACGGGGGAUGCGAGCGUUAUCCGGAUUUAUUGGGGUAAAAGGGUGCGCAGGCGGAAGAUCAAGUCAGCGGUAAACUUGAGAGCCUCAACCUCUUCGAGCCGUUGAAACUGGUUUUCUUGAGUGAGUGAGAGGUAUGCGGAAUGCGUGGUGUAGCGGUGAAAUGCAUAGAUAUCACGCAGAACUCCGAUGGCGAAGGCAGCAUACCGGAGCUCAACUGACGCUCAUGCACGAAAGUGUGGGUAUCGAACAGGAUUAGAUACCCUAGUAGUC
rnacentral:rRNA from 1 species